ACGGGUGAGUAACGCGUGGGGAAUCUACCUUUUAGUGGGGAAUAACGCUCCGAAAGGAGUGGUAAUACCGCAUGUGACCAUUGACUGGGAUGUUGAUGGUGAAACCCUGGGACCUUCGGGCCAGGGGCUAAAAGAGGAUCCUGCGUCUGAUUAGCUAGUUGGUGAGGUAACGGCCCACCAAGGCAUCGAUCAGUAGCCGGCCUGAGAGGGUGAUCGGCCACACUGGAACUGAGACACGGUCCAGACUCCUACGGGAGGCAGCAGUGGGGAAUUUUGCGCAAUGGGCGAAAGCCUGACGCAGCAACGCCGCGUGGGUGAUGAAGGUCUUCGGACUGUAAAACCCUGUCGCCAGGGACGAAGGGUGGGGCGUUAAUAGCGCUUUACUUUGACGGUACCUGGAAAGGAAGCCCCGGCUAACUCUGUGCCAGCAGCCGCGGUAAUACAGAGGGGGCAAGCGUUAUUCGGAAUUAUUGGGCGUAAAGGGCGCGUAGGCGGUUUUUUAAGUCGGAUGUGCAAUCCCUGGGCUCAACCCAGGAACUGCAUCCGAGACUGGAAGGCUAGAGUGCUGGAGAGGGUGGUGGAAUUCCUCGUGUAGC
rnacentral:rRNA from 1 species